rnacentral:misc_RNA from 1 species
AUACUAUGUUCUGAUCGAAUGUGUUCGCGUUGAGUCGGAGAGGUGGGAUUUUUAUAUUAAAUAUAAUAUUAACUUCAAUCCAUUGUCAGCAGAGGCUGUAAUGAUGUAUAACUUGUACAAACUAGUAAUAAAGCGUAGAUAAGUUUAAUAUAAGCCCCUAUGAGGGUGACAUAUUCAGUGUAUGAAUAAACCCUCUAUAAAUAAAUAAAGAUUAAAAAAAAAAAAAAAU